rnacentral:rRNA from 1 species
CAGCAGCCGCGGGAAUACAGAGGAUGCAAGCGUUAUCCGGAAUGAUUGGGCGUAAAGCGUCUGUAGGUGGCUUUUCAAGUCCGCCGUCAAAUCCCAGGGCUCAACCUGGGAACUGCAUUUGUGACUGCAUGACUAGAGUACGGCAGAGGGGGAUGGAAUUCCGCGUGUAGCAGUGAAAUGCGUAGAUAUGCGGAGGAACACCGAUGGCGAAGGCAAUCCCCUGGGCCUGUACUGACGCUCAUGCACGAAAGCGUGGGGAGCAAACAGGAUUAGAUACCCGUGUAGUCCCUGUCUCUUAUAC